GCCUAGGUAGUGCAAUGGAUAAGCACAGCAAACCUGAUAUCUGUAAAUGCGGCUUCAAGUCCCACCCGAGGCU
rnacentral:tRNA from 1 species